UACGGAGGGGGCUAGCGUUGCUCGGAAUUACUGGGCGUAAAGCGCACGUAGGCGGCUUCUUAAGUCGGUGGUGAAAUCCUGGAGCUCAACUCCAGAACUGCCUUCGAUACUGGGAGCUCGAGUCCGGGAGAGGUGAGUGGAACUGCGAGUGUAGAGGUGAAAUUCGUAGAUAUUCGCAAGAACACCAGUGGCGAAGGCGGCUCACUGGCCCGGUACUGACGCUGAGGUGCGAAAGCGUGGGGAGCAAACAGG
rnacentral:rRNA from 1 species